rnacentral:rRNA from 1 species
GUGGGGAAUAUUGGACAAUGGGCGAAAGCCUGAUCCAGCCAUGCCGCGUGUGUGAAGAAGGUCUUCGGAUUGUAAAGCACUUUAAGUUGGGAGGAAGGGCAGUAAGUUAAUACCUUGCUGUUUUGACGUUACCAACAGAAUAAGCACCGGCUAACUUCGUGCCAGCAGCCGCGGUAAUACGAAGGGUGCAAGCGUUAAUCGGAAUUACUGGGCGUAAAGCGCGCGUAGGUGGUUCAGCAAGUUGGAGGUGAAAUCCCCGGGCACAACCUGGGAACUGCCUCCAAAACUACUGAGCUAGAGUACGGUAGAGGGUAGUGGAAUUUCCUGUGUAGCGGUGAAAUGCGUAGAUAUAGGAAGGAACACCAGUGGCGAAGGCGACUACCUGGACUGAUACUGACACUGAGGUGCGAAAGCGUGGGGAGCAAACAGGAUUAGAAACCCGUGUAGUCC